UACAGAGGUGGCAAGCGUUGUUCGGAAUUACUGGGCGUAAAGGGCGCGUAGGCGGUCUUGUAAGUCUCGUGUGAAAUCCCUCGGCUUAACUGAGGAACUGCACGGGAUACUGCUUGACUUGAGUUCGGGAGAGGGGAGCGGAAUUCCGGGUGUAGCGGUGAAAUGCGUAGAUAUCCGGAGGAACACCGGUGGCGAAGGCGGCUUCCUGGACCGACACUGACGCUGAGGCGCGAAAGCUAGGGGAGCAAACGGG
rnacentral:rRNA from 1 species